AAUUGUGAAUGAUCUAAAGUAUUUUUAAUUAAGAUAAGGUUUAAGUAUUGCUAUAGCUUUUUUAGAAUACUUUAUUACGUAUUAUUGAUAAAUUGGCACUUCUGAUCGAAAGAGUUUUCAAGAGUUAAAAGAGACAUCCGCUUUAAAAACGAAAUGAUAACGUAUUCGAUAUAUGAAUUUUCUAGCAUGAUUAUAUGAAAAAAGCUUGAUCUUUUACUUUUUGAUAGGUCUUGAUAUUUAUAUUUAAUUUGAUAUGAUAAAAUAUUUCUCUGUAAGAGAUAAUUUAUCUUAUUUCAAAAAAUAACGUGAAGACCAAAUAUACCAGUAUAUAAUUAUAAAUAUUUGAUUACAUUUUUUUUUAUCUAUCAAUAAAUUUUUUAAAAUAAAUUAAUAAAUAUAUUAAAUAAACUAUUUAUACACC
rnacentral:lncRNA from 1 species